rnacentral:lncRNA from 1 species
AUUCCUAUGCAACAACUCAUCACACAAACUUUCAUGCAAGCAGUAAGCACCAAAAAUACAACAAGAAAUUUAUUUUCACAAAAACCUCAUAUGUGCAACUGAUGAACAUUAGUAAAUGCAAUUAGCUUCAUCUAUGCAACAACACAAUAUUUCUGUGCAAGUUAUUAUUUUCUAUGCACCAACUCACAACUUAAAUGCAAUUAGCCAAAAAAACAAAGCA